GGUGUUGUGAUGUAGCGGUUAUCACGUCUGCCUCACACGCAGAAGGUCUCCAGUUCGAUCCUGGACAGCAUCA